UAAAGAUGAAUCUUUUCAGGUUUCCAAAUGAAAUAAAAGCUACAACAAAGAAUAGAAUAAGAAGUCCCCUAGAUUUUCAGUUUGAAUUUUCAUAUGUGUAUUUUCUUAUGGAAGGCCAGAGUUCUGCAAGGUUUAAGGCAUUUUAUUCAAGUUCGUUGUAUUCAUUCAUUAUGCUUUUUGCGAACGGAGAUCAAACACGGAAGGACUUGGACAUGCUCCGAAAAACGAAAAAGAAAUUCAUUUGCAUAAAUGACGACAUAGACUACAAAAAGACACGUGAGGCACAGACAACUGUUAAUUUAUUGCACGAUUUCUACGAGUCAAUGUUUCCAAAACGAUCAUCAUUCGAAAUCGUUGAAUGAAAAGAAGAGAGGAAAAUCAGUUGCUUAUGGAUUUGUUAACAUACAUUAUGGUUAAUGGUUAAACUUAUAAAAUGUCAAUGGCAAAUUUAUUCUAUUGUCAAAUAUUGUUGUUGUUGUAAAGAUUUUAAGAACAUGUGUUUUGUCAAGAAAACAAAUGAGCCGCAACAUGACGAAAUCAACGUAAUAGGUUUGCGACCAGCAUGGAUCUGUUCGCUUACAGACCCUAUAAAAAGUAGAGAAACUGAUAGCGAACAGCAUGGGUCCUGAUCAGACUGCGCGGAUGUGCAGGCUGGUCUGGAUCCAUGCUGGUCGCAAACGCACUAUGUUGGUUUUGUCGUGACACGGCUAAAAUGAUUUUCAAAAUUAGAGAAGAUCAAGGUUAAACGAUACCGACAGACAUAUUGUAUCCAUGUGGUGUUCAACGAGAGAAAAUGUAAAAGGACUCAGUCAAGCUAUAUUUAAGUUAUUUUUUUUGGCAAUGUUUUUCUUUUCUUUUCCUUUUUUCAGGUCUUGACGAGUGCAGUAAAUUACCAUUUACUUCAGUUGUAAAAGGGAUUUCACUGAGGUUAUACAUAAAGGGACUGGAGAUAUUGUUUUCGAUAUUUGUGUAACAUUAAUUUUGAUGUAGAUCUGGACCAAUAUUUUUUUAGCGAAAUUUCAGAUAAUUCUCUUAACACUAAAGCAUUGCAAUGCUUUUCACUCAAACUAACUAAAUAUUGUGGAAAAAUCUAUUUUCAGAUUAAUGUCUUUUGCCGUUUUGUCCGUUUUUAAGUACAUCUAAAGAUCUGUGUAAAAAUGAUUUUUUUGUGUUAGACUUUUGGAUCUCAGUGGAGUUUCUUUAAGAAUCACGUGUUGUAUAUUUUUUGGAUUUAAUAGGUAUCUUAUGAUUCGCAAUUACUUAUUUGUACUUAUUGCUUUGCCAGCUGUUGCCAGUCGUAUUGAAAUUGUUUUAAUCGAACGGGUUGACAGAACUACAAUGAAAUUCUUAAUAUUCCAAUCAAUCAAUGAGUGUGAAUUGCAUGCAACAGACCGCGGUAUAAUUAGAGGUUCAUUACUUAUGUGUGCCCAUCGUAUAAAAUAUGUUAUGUCAUAUUAUACAAUUUUGAAGAGUGAGCCAUUGAUAUUAUACCACAAUAUUAUAUUACAUUAUAUAUAAUACAAAUUUGUACAUGUCUAAUUAUAAUGUUGUACUUUUUGUGAUUUUGCCUAUUCAUAUUAUUUAAGAAAUAAUAUAUCCCAAACUGUGAUUUUAUUGCUCAAUAACAUCACUGUUUGGAGUUCGGAUGCGGGGAAUUAUAUCACGAGGGCGUAGCCCGAGUGAUAUAAUGAUGCGCAUCUGAACGACAAACAGUGAUGUUAUCAUGCAAUAAAAUCACCGAUUUGGAUAUAUCAUUUCGAUUCUAACACGACAUCAACAAAUAAAUGCUGCCGUACAUUAUAAUUAGCUUAAUUGCGCCUGAUUUGUUUCCGUACUUAUUGUCAGCGCGUCACAUUUUUAUUGGUAACGUCACGUGUAUAAUGAUUACGUCACAUGUCUAAAUAUAGAACGUCAAACAGUGAUUUUAUAGCAUAAUUACACACACUUUCGGUUCUUCUAUGUUCAAUAGGGAAAAUGCGGGUCGUGUUAGAAUAAACAAUUACUGACUAGUGAGCCAUUUAAUAUGAUGUGAUAUUCACUGGCAGAAAGUCAUAUGAUUUUAUAAAAAAUUAAUGUUACUGUUUGGACAAAUGAGAUUGCAGCUAU